CGGUCUAUAAUGCAGUCGAGCGGAUGAUGAAGAAGCUUGCUUCUUCUGAUUUAGCGGCGGACGGGUGAGUAACACGUGGGCAACCUGCCCUGUAGAUUGGGAUAACUCCGGGAAACCGGGGCUAAUACCGAAUAAUCCAUUUCCUCACAUGGGGGAAUGUUAAAAGACGGCUUCUCCCUGUCCCUACGGGAGGGGCCCCCGGCCCAUUACCUAUUUGGGGAGGUAACGGCUCACCAAGGCAACAAUGCUUACCCAACCUGAAAGGGUGAUCGGCCCCCCGGGGACUGAAACCCGGCCCAAACUCCUACGGGAGGCACCAUUAGGGAACCUUCCACAUGGGACAAAAUUCUGAUGGACCACCCCCCCGUGAGUGAAAAAGGUUUUCGGAUCGUAAAACUCUGUUGUGAGGGAGAAACAAGUACAAAAGUAACUGCUCGUACCUUGACGGUACCUCAUUAAAAGCCCCGGCUAACUACGUGCCACACCGCGGUAAUACGUAGGUGGCAGCGUUGUCCGGAAUAUUGGGCGUAAAGCGCGCGCAGGCGGUCCUUUAAUCUGAUGUGAAAGCCCACGGCUCACCGUGGAGGGUCAUUGGAACUGGGGGACUUGAGUGCAGAGAAGAAAGUGGAUUCCAGUGUACGUGAAUGCGUAGAGAUUUGAGGACACCAGUGCGAGGCGACUUCUGGUCUGUAACUGACGCUGAGACGCGA
rnacentral:rRNA from 1 species